AAUAAUUUAAUGCCACAUCGGCAUUUUCAUCUUGAAUUUCAGUAUUUUCAUCUUGAAAAAAAUCACAUCCAAAUGAAAAUUUUGAAAUUCAGGAUGAAACUGUAGAUGUGACAUUAAACUAUU
rnacentral:pre_miRNA from 1 species